rnacentral:rRNA from 1 species
AGCGAUAGUUCUCGGCCUGCGCCGCUGGGGGAUGCUGCUGGUGGUCGCUCUGGCGACCUGAAGGCGGCUCGGCUGUGUAAAGCAGUCGCUGCGGGUCACGUUGGUGACGCGUUGAAGCAACUCCGCUUGAGUUUUCAAGUUGAUGACAGAAUUU